GACGAACGCUGGCGGCGUGCUUAACACAUGCAAGUCGAACGGAAAGGCCCUGCUUUUGUGGGGUGCUCGAGUGGCGAACGGGUGAGUAACACGUGAGUAACCUGCCCUUGACUUUGGGAUAACUUCAGGAAACUGGGGCUAAUACCGGAUAGGAGCUCCUGCUGCAUGGUGGGGGUUGGAAAGUUUCGGCGGUUGGGGAUGGACUCGCGGCUUAUCAGCUUGUUGGUGGGGUAGUGGCUUACCAAGGCUUUGACGGGUAGCCGGCCUGAGAGGGUGACCGGCGACAUGGGGACUGAGAGACGGCGCAGAGUCCUACGGGAGGCAGCAGUGGGGAAUAUUGCACAAUGGGAGGAAGCCUGAUGAAGAAACGCCGCGUGCGGGAUGACGGCCUUCGGGUUGUAAAACGCUUUCGCCUGUGACGCAGCGUGAGUGACGGUAAUGGGUAAAGAAGCACCGGCUAACUACGUG
rnacentral:rRNA from 1 species